GAAGUUAUUUUCCAUUCAGAAGUCUGACAGCCCACAGGUAGAAGAUGUUCUUCAGCCUGUUGGUGUGGCUGGCUAUGCCUCUAUAUCUCCUACCCUACUGGAUGGAGAAUGAAGUACGUG